GGCUUUCACCCAUUAUUCUGAGAUGUGUAGCCUCAGGGGACGAGAACUCCUUCAUUCAAUUUUAAAUUCACGCAAUUUGGUUUUGUUUGGUUCAUUUCAUCCCUUUACCUAUUACCUCAUUUCCUCUGUUGUUGACAGACAAGCAGAAUAACACACACGCACACACAGACACACACACCUGGGACAGGGGUCAUCUAACUGAACCCUGGUUUACCUGUCUACUAGGUAAACAGAACAAAACCCAGACUUUGUCCUGUCAAACACAGCUCUUAUCUCAGGUAACGGGAUGGAAUGAAAAUCUGGAGCUCGGAUCAAACCUUCUCAAUCGACGAGUCAUCCGAAAAACAGUGCUUUGCAUGAUGGGAAACUCAACAACCAAGUUGGACUAAUGCCUUUCAUCAUUCAUCAUUUCAUCACACGUCCGUCAUGCAGGGAGACAUUAUGAAUGAUCUUCCCUUAUCGGCCCUGAACAGUACGGCUGAGCUUAAUUGAUUUGUUCAGAGCUUUACUUCACCUUUGUACCCGACUCUUCACUCGAGAGCUUCUCGCCGUCCACCUGAUCAAGAUUAAAGCACUGAGGUGGGAACCAGCGGACAUUAAGUCCAAGAGGGAAACCGACAUCGAGAGGAAAAGAUUGGAUCAAACGCGGUGGGAGAGCAGCAGGACGGCCCGUCACCUGUAGAGACUGUGUGAUGUAGAGCGGGGCAGGACUCCCCCGACGGGAGAGGACCCUCCAUCCCUUCAUACGCCGCCAGUGGGAGAUUCUAUUAAAGCGUCAGCGGGCGCUGGUGGUGCUG
ensembl:lncRNA